UUUUUUUUUUUUUUUUUUUUUUUUUCAGAGUAUUUUCUUUCUUGUCCAGAUUAGCUAAAUUGGAUUGUUCUAUGCUAAAUUCACUUAAUCACUACUCUAUUAUUUUUGAAUUUUUUAGUUCUGUUUUUUUCACUUGGUUCUUUUUUUAAAAAAACUUCUACUACCUUUCUGAGACUUCUACUUUUUUACUUUUUUCAAGAAGCUUUAUAAUUACUUGCUAAAGCAUUUUUACCAUGACUGUUUUUAACUUCUUCAGAUAACCACAACAUUUGGUUAAUCUUGAGGUUGGCUUGGUUAACUGUCUUUUCUCAUCCUGCUUAUGAUUUUCCUUCUAAUUGUGAUUUUUCCGGUUCUUGAUAGAUGGGUGAUGUUUUAGUUUAUCCUGCAUUUUUUUUUCCUUUUUAAGUUAGAGGAAUCUGAAUCUAUUCAAAUGUUUUAUUUUAGCAGGCAUGUGCCCUGUUUAGGUUUAAUUUGAAUGUCCUGUCCUACUUUUGUAGGCCAUGUUUUCGCAGGCAGUCUUGCUAUCAGAGCUGAGGGGAUGCUGUUUUGAUCACUUAGUUUAUCUGAUGUUGCUGGGCCUCCAACUGGUGCUGACUGGUACUUCCUGAGAUGGCGAAGGUUUUUCUGUACUCUGAGAUGCCGUGUAUCUCUAUGUAAGGGGAGGAGACUCUGGACCACAGGAAUGAAGAGAACAUCUUAGGUCAGGCAGCUCAAUCAUAUGCGAUAACCUGGGUCAACCAGCCAGUAGCCUCAUGAAGUAUGGGAGGGAAUUCUCCAGUGUCAGCAUUCAAAGACAUCAUGAGUUUUUACUUCUCAUUUUCUUUUAAGUGAAAUAAUCGCAUGGAAAUUAAAGAAUAAAUAUAUGAAAUAUAUGAAACUUAUAUGAAAUAUAAGAAUGUGAGAAGGCCUACAGCGUGGGGAUCCCCAGGCUAUUUGAACAAUGAAUGUCUGUGUUACACAUCUUUGCUCACUUUUUCUCUAUUUUUGUAGUUCAUUGUGGAACCAGCACAGAUUUUCAUACGAAAGUUAUUUCUUUUUAACCUCAAAAAGUGACAGAAUGGAGUGUAUCAUGAAAAAGUCUGACAUCAAAACCUCAAAAUGUGAUAUUGAUUGGGUGAGAUAGAAUUCCAUGGAAUUUCAUUGCCAAACCAGUGAAGUGCUAAUUUUGACAUUUGUACCAGCUAACGUAGCUGUGAAGAAACACACCAAUACACUUCUAAGGACAGCAUAGACCAAGAUCUAGGUUUCAUAUGGAUGAAUUUAUUCUUCCCUUUGAGGCAAGACAAGAAGGAAAGAAAGUAUUGGGAAUAAUGCUGCCCUCCCAUCCUCAAGGGCCAGUGGGAACUCUAAUAUUGAUUGGUUUUCACAGAAUUCCAUGGACUUUAACUGCUGAACCAAUGAUGCACUGAUUUUGUCACUUGUACCAGCUAACGCAUCUGGGAGGCAACAAAACAAUACUCUCCUGAGGUUAAUGUGGACCAAAAACUAGAUUUCAUAUAAAAGAGUUUAUUCCUUCUACUUGAGGUGUGACAUGAAGGAAAGUAAUGGAAAUAAUUCUGCCCUCCCAUUCUCAAGGGCCAGGGGGAAUUCAAAUAUUGAACGGAAGUGAUUUUGGAAUUGCAUGGAAUUCUCACUGCCAUCCCAAAGAAAUGCUGAUCUUGUCACUCUUACCUGUUUCAUUCCCUGGGGGCAGAACAAAAGGACGCACUCCAAAGAUCGGCAUGAACCAAGAACUGGGUUUCAUAUAAAAUAUUUUAUUCUGUCCUCUUGAGAUGUGACAUGAGAAAAGUAUUGAGAAUACUUCUAUCACCUCAUCUUCAAGAAUCCGUAGGAAUUCUCCCAUGGUGGACUUUACGGUUAACCUGAACAGGUCUUGGAAAAAGGACUUUAAACAUUCUCCUGUUCUGUGGAAUAAGUAUACUUUUUUCUGGACAUACACCUUGUCAGUGAGUUCCAUGUGAUACUAGAGUUGCAUAGAUUUUUAACCUUUACGCCAAUGAAGAUCUGAGGCAAACAUUGCCCCUUUUUUAGAAGUUUGCAUUUGUCACUGAUAACUGUAAUAAUUGAUCUUGUUGAAAAGCCUGGGAAAUGAAGAUCUGAUAUGUCACUUUUACCGGCUUCCUCAACUGAAAAAGAAUACAAUGAAACACGCUGAGAAUUUUUGUGCUUUCUCAGUCUUGCUGAUGAUCUUUCUAUGGGCCUGAAGCGUGGAGAGUGCCAGAGAGGCUGAUCCUCAGCAGUGUGGCAGAGGAAAGUUGGGUGCGACUAAGGGGUAUGCGGUGCCCACAUGCCACUGGGUCCUCAGCAGUACCACCUGAUUGGAAGUGAUAUUGGUGGAAGACAACAUUUUGCCGCUUGGAAUUCUCACCUCCACACCAAAGAAGUACUGUUUUUGUCAUUUGCACCAGCUUCUUUCUCCAGGAAAGAUCAAAACGAUGCACUGCAAGUGUGAUUGGUCCAGAUAGCUGCCUUAUCCAACUGCCUCCUUUGGACCACUUCAUCAUGGGACAGCUUGAUGCAAUCUACUUGACAAGACCCUGGAACCCCACACCCCUCAUGGAACCAGUGUCCACCUCCCAGUCACAGUGUGACCCCAGGGAACUCUUGCCUGCUUGCUUUAAACCCACCACUUAAAAGUCUCCACAGAAAACCUGUUUGAAUAGUACCCUUGACCCAAUAAGGGCAUUGGCCCCUGGGUGUCUCUCUCUCUCUCUCUCUCUCUCUCUCCCUCUCUCUCCCUCUCUCUCUCUCGCUCCCUGACCUCUGCGUGUGGACUCCAGGCAUGCCAUAUACCCCUCAGGACCUGAAGCAAAAGAAUGAAUUAAAGAAAACUCCAGAGAAUGAGCUGACAACCUACUCCCUGGUCAGUGGCUCUCCAUGCCUACCUGUGGUCUCUUGGACACCCUUGCAGAAGAUGACUUCCUGGGAACUCUUCUGGGAGUGAAUGUUAUCAGCAAAUUCCCAAAACAACACCCCUUAGACAAAAAGCCUCCUCACCUAUGCAUUGCCUAGACCACCCACUAAAGGUGAUGGCCACAAAGAGGUGGAUUUGUUGAGUUGGUGCCAUUCCUUCUACUGCCAGCUUCACCAAAACAAUGACACAGUCUUCCUUCCGCAUGGAGACUCUUCUCUUUCCUGUGUUGCAGUGGAUGCCUCCUGCAGAUAAGAAAUGCUUAACUGAGAAAUGCUCAUGUUGGGAUAUCAUCGAUGAGACUUUAAUUUGGGCAUGGUGACUGUUUCCCUUGCUGCCACUUGACUCAAUCCCAGGAGCCUCAGUAGAGGAUAUAAUAUUACACAAGAUGCUCAAAAUGGUGGAAUUGCUCAGUGCUCCCAUAAAUAUACAUUUAUAAUUUUCAUUUGCCACAUGGUAAACUGAAAAAUACAGACUAUAUUAAAAAGAAACUGCAUGAUUUUUUUUCAAAAAUUCAAAGCAUAUUUAAAUAAUAUAUAAAUUAAAUGCCCUCCUCUCUUCCAAUUCUGUCCCUAUAGUUUUCCUCUAUUAAGUGAACUACAUGCAUUCUUUUAGUGGAUAGAUGCACACAAACACACAAGCCAUUAUGGGGAAGGAUCCACGUGUGUGGCCAUAUUGUAACACAUUUUUCUGCAAAUCACCUCUUUCAUUUAACAGCCCUUAUUCAAUGGCCUUUUUCUUUUUCAGUAGUACAUACACAUCUGUGUCAUUUGUUGAAUGACGACAUGAAUGUUUUGUAGAUAAAAUAUAAUUAAAUGUUUUAAGCAUUUCUCACUCAUAGAUAUUUAUGUUAGCACCAAAUUUCUGUGCAAUGAACCUCCCUAUAUAUCAGUAAUUUUGCAUUUGUCUAUAAUAUCAUAAUAAAUUACUUAUCAGUUGAAUUACUGGGAUUAAGUAUGUGCACACUUUAUAUUUAUAUUUUGAAAAUUAUUGCAAGAUUGCCUUCAAAAAUGUGGUUAACAACUUUAUCUUCAAAUGGCAAUGAAUGAGAUUGCCAGCUUUCCUACAGCCUCACAGACAAUGGAUUUUAUAAAUAUUUAACAUUUUUGCCAAUGUGAUCACCCAAACUAUUGUCUUAAAUUGUAUCUCUUUUGUUUUUGAGUUUGGUCAUUUUUUCAUGUUUAUUAGCCAUCUGUAUUUUUUAAUUUCUUCUUUAUGUCCAAUUUUGUGGGUGGGAGGAGGAUUUAGUCUCUUCCUGAUUUCGAAGAGCUCAUUUACUAUUUCGGGAAAUAAGAUUUGGAUUGUCAACCAUUAUAGCUAUUUUUUACACACUUUUCAACUUUGUUUUUGUUAUAAGAAUGUGUAUGAUUGUUACAUGUCCAAGUAUAACCAUGUUCGCUUUUAUGGCUUCUGAGUUUCAUGUCAUUUUUGGAAAGAUAUAUAUAUUGAGUCCAUAAAACCCUUCACCUAUGUUAAAUUCUAAUUCUUUUGUGUUUUUUUAAUUCAAAUUCUUAAAUCAUGAGAAAUUUUUUUGUUUUGAAAUCUUAAAGUUGCCAAGUUACUUGCCAUUACUUGCGAUUAUUUGCCAAUAAUUGCCCAUUUAUCUGUACCGCCAUCUUGCGCAUAUGCUGUACUCUCAUCUGUGACUGGCUCCAUUUUUGUUCUGUGGAUUUGUGUGUCUCUUCUUCUGCCUCCUGUCUCGUGUCUGCUCGUUGGAAGAAAUUACAGUUUAGACUGCAAUUUCAUCAACUUUAAUAAAUCAAUUGAGGGGAGAAUUGGUUUUUAAAAAUAUUAAGUAAGUCUUCGUAUCCAAGGACAAGGUAUGUCUUUUCUUAUUCAAUAAUUUUAAUUACUGUUAAUAUUUUCACUGUGGUGAUGGGAGUUUUUCUUUUAAUUUAUUUUCUUGUUCAUUUUUUGUAUCUAAAGUUUUUGUUUUGUUUUGUUUUGGGGGUAAGUUGUCACCUUACUGUUUCUUGUUGCUUUUCAGAUUUUUUCAAAGUAUAGACUAAAUCCUUCACAAAUAUUUAAAGUUUUUAUUUUCCCCCUUCAUAUUGAUCCUGAUUUUAGUUAUGUUGACAAAGUCCACAGACUGUUACUAUCAGAACACUUGAACAGUUAUGGAAAUAUUACCUACCCUUGAUUUAAUCAGAGUUUAAUGGUAUGCUUCUUUGGUUUGACUGGCACAUUGUCGCUGGUCAUUUCCUCCCAAAGACCACCAGAAAGAGCUAUGAUCAAGCAAAGCUGAGUUUGUUAAACUUACCUGCAGCAAGGGAAAACACCACCUUGAUAGGGUUUAAUAAUGUUUCAAAAUCAAGAAAUGAGGCUUUGGGGUCUGGGCAGGGAACUAAUUAGAAAUGGGCAAAAUUUGUCAUGCAAUACCUUGUGGGAAAGUGAGAUGAGGUUCUUAAUGUGAGUAUUGAUGGUGAAAUCAUUUUCUAGGUGAGCUGUUUGCCUAUAUAAAGAUGUUAUCAAUGACAGAAGAACUAUUUGCCUAGAUAAACAAACUGAAUUUAUUUAUUGGUUUACAGUUUUAUCUUGCUGGGCAGGACUCUGCUGGGGGUGGUAUCAGGUCUUAUUCCCAAUAGGUAAGUUAUUUGGAUAUGGGUGGUCUUAAUCAUCAAUGUGUAAAAUGCUGAUUUUAAGUGCGAAAUACUUUGUCUACCAUGUUAGGAAAGUCUGCCACCUUUUAUCUUUUUUAAGGAAUUUUAAUCAAAACCAGGUGGUAGAUAUAAUCAAAUUGUUUUGCAGAAUCAAUUUUCCUGUUCUCUUUAAAGACUUUUAUCACUGUGAAUUAAUUUACUAUUAUUGCAACUUCCUUUAAUUCCUUGAAUGAACAGACCCUACUGGUUUUAAAAAUGUUUUAUUCUUUUAAUUUACUACUUAAUUGUGGGUAUUUUAAUUUGAUUUGGAAUUUUUACAAGUAUACAACUAAGUGAAAUUGAUCUGUGAUUUUUCUUUUUUGUGCUAUUUUUGUCAUGUUUUGAUAUCAGAUAUUCUGGUUGUGUUAAAAUAAUUUUGAGGAUUUUCUUCUUAUACUGUGUUCUAGAGUGGGUAAAAAAGCCCUAGUCUCACUAUCAGUGUUUAAGUGAACACAUCAGUGACAUCAUCUGGACUCUCCUUUGUUUUUGCUGGUUUGGAGUUAGGACAUCUAGAAGUUUUUUUCUUUUUUUCCUUUUUUUGUAUGGUUAUUGCUUGUUCUUUGUUUUGUGUCAAAUUUAACCUGUUUUCUCUUAGCAAAUCACAGCUCAUGCAGAUUUUCAAACACAUUAGCCUUGUUAUACAAAGUGUUCUUUCAUCAUUCUAUUAAAUUUCCAUUUUCAUUCCAGUUAUAGUUAUUUCUGCUGUGCCUUUGUUAAUGAAUAAGUUUAAACAGUGGAUGUUUAGCAUCACUAGCCUUCCCCUUCCAUCUCCCUUAAUCAGGACCUUGGUAUAAUUUAUCAGGUAUUUUUUAAGGUUCUAAUUUACUUAUAUAUAUUGUUUCUGUAUUCUUUUGUUUCUUUUCUUAAUAAAUUCUUAAA
rnacentral:lncRNA from 1 species